rnacentral:rRNA from 1 species
GAUGAACGCUGGCGGCGUGCCUAAUACAUGCAAGUCGAGCGGUAACACUUCGGGUGACGAGCGGCGGACGGCUGAGUAACACGUAGGAACGUACCCCAAACUGAGGGAUAAGCACCGGAAACGGUGUCUAAUACCGCAUGUGGUCUUCGGAUUAAAGCUUCGGCGGUUUGGGAACGGCCUGCGCAUGAUUAGCUUGUUGGUGAGGUAAAAGCUCACCAAGGCGACGAUCAGUAGCUGGUCUGAGAGGAUGAUUAGCCAGACUGGGACUGAGACACGGCCCAGACUCCUACGGGAGGCAGCAGUAGGGAAUUUUCCACAAUGGGCGAAAGCCUGAUGGAGCAACGCCGCGUGCAGGAUGAAUGCCUUCGGGUUGUAAACUGCUUUUAUUGGUGACGAUUAUGACGGUAGCCAAUGAAUAAGGAUCGGCUAACUCCGUGCCAGCAGCCGCCGUAA